ACUCACCGCCGUUGAAAAGUUGGGAGAUGAGAUAGGUCUAGGGGUGAAAAGCCAAUCGAACUAGGAGAUAGCUCGUUCUCUCCGAAAUGCAUUUAGGUGCAGCCUUGGACUGAGAUAUGUGGGGGUAGAGCUCUGUAUGAUCUAGGGGGCGUACUGCUUACCGAAAUCAAGCAAACUGCGAAUACCAUAUAUCAUGUUCAGGAGUGAGUCCGUGGAUGACAAGGUCCUCGGACGAGAGGGGAACAGCCCAGACCACCAGCUAAGGUCCCUAAUUAUGUCUAAGUGGGAAAGGAGGUGGAUAUUCACAGACAACCAGGAGGUUGGCUUAGAAGCAGCCAUACCUUGAAAGAGUGCGUAAUAGCUCACUGGUCGAGAGUGCCUGCGCCGAAGAUGUAACGGGGCUAAGACAUAAACCGAAGCUGCGGAAGAUACACUGUAUCUUGGUAGGAGAGCGUUCUGUAGGCCGUCGAAGGGAUGCCGCAAGGCCGUCCUGGAGGUAUCAGAAGCGAGAAUGCAGGAAUGAGUAGCGAGAAGGCGGGCGAGAAUCCCGCCGGCCGGAAGUCCAAGGUUUCCAGGGGAAGGCUUGUCCGCCCUGGGGAAGUCGGGACCUAAGCAUAAGCAAAAUUGUGAUGGCGAAUGGAAAACAGGUUAAUAUUCCUGUACCGCUGUUAUCGCUUGAGAGACGGAGUGACGCAGGAAGGUAUGCGAGAAGGCUGACGGUUUAGCCUUUCUAAGGGCCCAGCGUGGGCGUGCUGGUAAAUCCGCACGCCUAAACGUGAGACCUGACGGGGAAGUGCAUUUGCAUAAGUCGCAGAUCCUACACUGCCAAGAAAAACUUCUAUCGAUGAGAAGCAGCGCCCGUACUGUAAACCGACACAGGUGGACAGAGUGAGAAACUUAAGGCCGACAGGAUAACUCUAGCUAAGGAACUCUGCAAAAUAGCCCCGUAACUUCGGGAGAAGGGGUGCCUGACAUACCUGAAGGAGAGAAGCGCUCCCAGGGGAAACAGGCCGCAGUGAAGAGUCUCAAGCAACUGUUUACCAAAAACACAGGUCUAUGCUAAGCUGAAAGGCGACGUAUAUGGGCUGACACCUGCCCAGUGCCGGAAGGUUAAGAGGAGGAGUGAGAGCUCCGAUUUGAAGCCCCGGUGAACGGCGGCCGUAACUAUAACGGUCCUAAGGUAGCGAAAUUCCUUGUCGGGUAAGUUCCGACCUGCACGAAUGGUGUAAUGAUUUGAGCGCUGUCUUGACGGGAGGCCUGGUGAAAUUGUAUUACCGGUGAAGAUACCGGUUACCUACAGUAGGACGGAAAGACCCCAUGGAGCUUUACUGUAGCUUGGUAUUGGGUUUUGGCAUUGCAUGUAUAGGAUAGUUGGGAGACUGAGAUGAUAUGGCGCUAGCUGUAUCGGAGUCAUCGGUGGAAUACCAACCAUUCAAUGCUGAAAUUCUAAUCUGUGGUUUGUAGCCACGGAGACAGUGCUAGGUGGGCAGUUUGACUGGGGCGGUCGCCUCCGAAAGAGUAACGGAGGCGUUCAAAGGUUCUCUCAGGUUGGAUGGAAAUCAACCAUAGAGUGCAAUGGCAUAAGAGAGCUUGACUGCAAGACUGACGGGUCGAGCAGAUGCGAAAGCAGGACAUAGUGAUCCGGCGAUUCCGAAUGGAAGGGUCGUCGCUCAACGGAUAAAAGCUACCCUGGGGAUAACAGGCUGAUCCUACCCGAGAGUCCAUAUCGACGGUAGGGUUUGGCACCUCGAUGUCGGCUCAUCGCAUCCUGGGGCUGGAGAAGGUCCCAAGGGUUGGGCUGUUCGCCCAUUAAAGCGGUACGUGAGCUGGGUUCAGAACGUCGUGAGACAGUUCGGUCCCUAUCCACUGUAGGCGUUAGAAUAUUGAGAAGACCUGUCCUUAGUACGAGAGGACCGGGAUGGACAAACCUCUGAUGUACCAGUUGUCACGCCAGUGGCACAGCUGGGUAGUCACGUUUGGAAUAGAUAACCGCUGAAAGCAUCUAAGCGGGAAACUAACUUCAAGAUAAGUAUUCUUUAAGAUACCUUCGAGCCUAGGAGGUUGAUAGGUUGGGGGUGUAAGUGCAGCAAUGCAUUUAGCUGACCAAUACUAAUUAUCGAAGUUUUAAUC
rnacentral:rRNA from 1 species